ensembl:lncRNA
CUUAGCCAGAAAAGCUUGCACGCUCACAUCGCACAAAGCCAUCCGGUCCAUCAAAGUAUGAAACAAGCAGAGGAGAGCUCGAGUUCAACGACGCUCUAAGGGGAAAUGAAUGUCUGGCAUCAGCACUGGAGGCUACUCAUUUUGAAGAACUUCAUAGCACAUAGAGAUUUGACAGAAAAACAACGUGGAUGGAAUGGCUGGUGAUUUUCCCAAGGAAAGAUGACCCUAAUCUUCCAGAAGGACAGAAAAACAAGACCAGCCAGAGUUUUAUCCAUUACUGCAUCAGAGAUGACUGGCUUGAAUUUGGUCAAAGGAUUAUGGGCUCAGUGCACCAGAAGCACUGAACUGGGGCAGCAGAGGAAGGAAAGGAAAAGCAGUGGCUGCUGUCUAAGGGUUCUUUUAUGCUCCCGGAUGAGUUUCUCAGCUGGAUCAUUGUAAAGCGCAGAAAUUAUGGGAUUGCUUACCUGUACUCUAGGAGAUUAACUCACGUGUCCUGCCACCAC